AGAAGCUUCAGCGAUUGUUCAGUCUGAUUAGCUUGUCCGUACUCCGCAUUAGAGCCAACAAGUAUUCUGCAAGAAACGGUAGAACUUCCUAUCAAUCAAUAAACAGCACAGACUCAGGUGGUCGAAGCCUAGAGAAAGAGAGAUUGAUCUUGCAAAAAAUAACUAUCACACAUGGUAAGAUCCUGCCAUGUUACCAGAAUUUCAUCACACACACAGACACAUGGAGAACAUACAGAUGGUGGAGGCUGGGGGAAGAAUGGAAAGGAAGACACCAAUCCAUUUUUGGAGGAGAGUGCAAGUGCUGCCCUGAGAGAGGGUACGUUGCUGGCUUUUCUGUACAGGAAGAUGUUGAGUGGCCACGAUUUUAAAAAAUUGAGACAAUUUGCCUAGCAAUCAUUCAGUGUAUAAUCUUCUGACUUGGCAUAAGGGUA